CUACCUGGGUGAACCUGUUCAUCAUCUCAUUAAAGACUGCCAGGAAAAUGAAGCAGCCAUAGUAAUCGUCAGUGGAAACGAGGACAUUAAAAUCGUCAUUGACGGACGAAAGGUCCUCAGAGAGGUGCCCACAAUAGCAACGGCUGUUGCUAUGUUCUUCGGGCUCACCUAUGUUCUCAACAUAAAAUAUCCCAAAAAUCUGCACUAUACCCUUGAGUUUGUGCAAAAGGUCCUGAUGAAGCUUGGUGGAAAAAAGAUGUCCCCAAAAAUUCAUAGGCUGAGUACCCAGCUUGGCAGCCAAGAGUAGGCACAGUAGAGUUCCACUGUUAGGCUUGAUUUAAUGGCAUUUCUACAACCAAGACUUUGUACCGUUUUAUCUGGGGUUGGUGUUUGAAACACUUGCACAACUACAUUUCUGCUACAGUAUGGACAAAAGAAUCUGCCUAAGGUUUCACAGGCGCAAGUGGGUAUUGUGCUGGAGAGCACUGAUUUGUUUAUUGCAGCAUUUUCUGACCAAGAGGAUCAGGAGCUACCUCACUCGUUUGCAAGUUAUGGAACUGAGGACGUUCACACACAUCACUUUUGAUUUUAAGGAAUAAUUCCUCUCUGACUGUAUUACAUUGCAUUUUCAAAUGGUCACUGUUCAGUGAGAAAAAUGUUCCCAAAUGCUGUUGGUUUACUUGAAAAUGCAUGUCUUCAUUACUGUUUGUGUUUGAGAUGUGAUGGUUGAGAAGCACUGGUUUAUGUUAAUACAAUGAGAUGUUGCUGUUGUAUUUGAGGGGAAAAGACAUCAUUGAGAAGGACUGUUUUUAAGGUGGGACUAUGUUGAAAAAAAUGUUCAUUCAACAAUAAAUGUGUUGAAAAGGAA